UUAACAUUGGAUUUGAGCCUAAUGUCCGGCAGCCCGAGCUCAAGUCAAGCCAGCAUCUCCACGUGAUGGAGCUCAGCCCCACGAUGCAACCGGACCUCUUCCAUCAUCAACGGUGUUCAGCCUUCAAUUCCAACAUGCUCCCAGAAUUUUCUAGCGUCCGAGUCGCAUCAAAAUCCUAGCUUUCUUCCCCAUCGCGUGAGCCUAAGCAUUCAAGUCCAGUCGGUCCAUGCGAUCACGGGAGACCCUAGCCCAUUCCAAGCUUCACGUGUGAAGCCAUCAACAGCGUGCCAGCAACGCCCACGUCCGCUCCUCCUGGAAUCCCUGCAUCGCGUCCCCCUCU
rnacentral:lncRNA from 1 species